UACCAUCACCCCGAGUGGUCGGGACGAUAUUGGGCCUAAAGCAUCCGUAGCCGGUUUUACAAGUCCUCCGUUAAAUCCACCUGCUUAACAGAUGGGCUGCGGAGGAUACUACAAGGCUAGGAGGCGGAAGAGGCAAGCGGUACUCAGUGGGUAGGGGUAAAAUCCUCUGAUCCAUUGAAGACCACCAGUGGCGAAGGCGGCUUGCCAAUACGCGCUCGACGGUGAGGGAUGAAAGCUGGGGGAGCAAACCGG
rnacentral:rRNA from 1 species